AGUUAACGGCGAGUGAAGCAGCCAAUAGCUCAAAUUUGAAAUCUGCCUACGGGCCGAGUUGUAAAUUUGUAGAGGAAGCUUUUGGGUACCGCUCUUUUCUAAGUCCCCUGGAACGGGGCGCCAAAGAGGGGUGAGAGCCCCGUAUAGUAAGAAGCCUAGCCCUGUGUAAAGCUCCUUCGACGAGUCGAGUAGUUUUGGGAAUGCUGCUCUAAAUUGGAGGUAAAUUCCUUCUAAAGCUAAAUACCUGUCAGAGACCGAUAGCGCACAAGUAGAGUGAUCGAAAGAUGAAAAGCACUUUGAAAAGAGAGUUAAACAGCACGUGAAAUUGUUGAAAGGGAAGCGCCUAUAACUAGACUUGCGCUAGAUCGAUCUCCUGUCGUUUUCGGCAGUGUACUCGGUCUAGCCCAGGCCAGCGUCAGUCCUUGUAGCAGGAUAAAAGCCUUUGGAAUGUGACUCCCUCGGGAGUGUUAUAGCCUUGGGCAUAAUAUUGCUGUAGGAACUGAGGAUCGCGCCUUGCGAGGACGCUGGCGUAAUAGUUAUC
rnacentral:rRNA from 1 species